CCUCGGGACAUUGAGAAGUUGUGCUGGCUUCGUCAGCUCGUGUCGUGAGAUGUUGGGUUAAUCCCGUAACGAGCGCAACCCUUGUCCUUAGUUACCAGCACGUAAUGGUGGGCACUCUAAGGAGACUGCCGGUGACAAACCGGAGGAAGGUGGGGAUGACGUCAAGUCAUCAUGGCCCUUACGGCCUGGGCUACACACGUGCUACAAUGGUCGGUACAAAGGGUUGCCAAGCCGCGAGGUGGAGCUAAUCCCAUAAAACCGAUCGUAGUCCGGAUCGCAGUCUGCAACUCGACUGCGUGAAGUCGGAAUCGCUAGUAAUCGUAAUCAG
rnacentral:rRNA from 1 species